GCCACUGUAGCUCAGUAGGUAGAGCAGCUGAUUCGUAAUCAGCAGGUCGGGGGAUCGAUGCCCUCCAGUGGCU
rnacentral:tRNA from 2 species